CUCAGAAUCAACGCUGGCGGCGUGCCUAACACAUGCAAGUCGAACGCGAAAGCCCCUUUCGGGGGGUUAGUAGAGUGGCGUCCGGGUGAGUAACACGUGGGUAAUCUGCCUUCGGGUGGGGAAUAACCCAGGGAAACUUGGGCUAAUACCGCAUAAUGCAGCGGCACCUAAUGGUGAUUAGUUGUUAAAGCGGGGGAUCGCAAGACCUCGCGCCUGAAGAGGAGCCUGCGGCAGAUUAGCUAGUUGGUGAGGUAAUGGCUCACCAAGGCUUCGAUCUGUAGCUGGUCUGAGAGGACGGCCAGCCACACUGGCACUGACACACGGGCCAGACUCCUACGGGAGGCAGCAGUGGGGAAUUUUGGGCAAUGGGCGAAAGCCUGACCCAGCAACACCGCGUGAGGG
rnacentral:rRNA from 1 species